UGGGGAAUUUUGGACAAUGGGCGAAAGCCUGAUCCAGCAAUGCCGCGUGUGUGAAGAAGGCCUUCGGGUUGUAAAGCACUUUUGUCCGGAAAGAAAUCCUCUGGGUUAAUACCUCGGGGGGAUGACGGUACCGGAAGAAUAAGCACCGGCUAACUACGUGCCAGCAGCCGCGGUAAUACGUAGGGUGCAAGCGUUAAUCGGAAUUACUGGGCGUAAAGCGUGCGCAGGCGGUUUUGUAAGACGGAUGUGAAAUCCCCGGGCUUAACCUGGGAACUGCAUUCGUGACUGCAAGGCUAGAGUAUGGCAGAGGGGGGUAGAAUUCCACGUGUAGCAGUGAAAUGCGUAGAGAUGUGGAGGAAUACCGAUGGCGAAGGCAGCCCCCUGGGCCAAUACUGACGCUCAUGCACGAAAGCGUGGGGAGCAAACAGGAUUAGAUACCCUGGUAGUCCACGACCUAAAACGAUGUCAACUAGUUGUUGGGGAUUCAUUUCCUUAGUAACGUAGCUAACGCGUGAAGUUGACCGCCUGGGGAGUACGGUCGCAAGAUUAAAACUCAAAUGAAUUGACGGGGUCAUAGCUGUUUCCU
rnacentral:rRNA from 1 species